AGUGAACGCUGGCGGUAGGCCUAACACAUGCAAGUCGAACGGCAGCACAGGAGAGCUUGCUCUCUGGGUGGCGAGUGGCGGACGGGUGAGGAAUACAUCGGAAUCUGCCCAGUCGUGGGGGAUAACGUAGGGAAACUUACGCUAAUACCGCAUACGACCUUCGGGUGAAAGAGGGGGAUCGCAAGACCUCUCGCGAUUGGAUGAGCCGAUGUCGGAUUAGCUAGUUGGCGGGGUAAUGGCCCACCAAGGCGACGAUCCGUAGCUGGUCUGAGAGGAUGAUCAGCCACACUGGAACUGAGACACGGUCCAGACUCCUACGGGAGGCAGCAGUGGGGAAUAUUGGGCAAUGGGCGCAAGCCUGAUCCAGCCAUACCGCGUGGGUGAAGAAGGCCUUCGGGUUGUAAAGCCCUUUUGUUGGGAAAGAAAUCUUUCAGGCUAAUACCCUGGGAGGAUGACGGUACCCAAAGAAUAAGCACCGGCUAACUUCGUG
rnacentral:rRNA from 1 species